rnacentral:rRNA from 1 species
CAGUAGCCGCGGUAAUACGUAGGGUGCGAGCGUUAAUCGGAAUUACUGGGCGUAAAGCGUGCGCAGGCGGUUUUGUAAGACAGAGGUGAAAUCCCCGGGCUCAACCUGGGAACUGCCUUUGUGACUGCAAGGCUAGAGUACGGCAGAGGGGGAUGGAAUUCCGCGUGUAGCAGUGAAAUGCGUAGAUAUGCGGAGGAACACCGAUGGCGAAGGCAAUCCCCUGGGCCUGUACUGACGCUCAUGCACGAAAGCAUGGGGAGCAAACAGGAUUAGAUACCCGCGUAGUCCCUGUCUCUUAUAC